rnacentral:ncRNA from 1 species
UUUUCGCACUCUGGAGAGCGGCAGUAGCCAUCCGCAUCGCACGCAUCGUGCAAAGCAGGCAGGCUGCCCACCGAAGGGGCGCGCGUUUCACUGUGACGGAUCAGGCUCGAGCGAGCAUCGAACACGUCGCACACGCGCAAUCUCUCAGGUAUCGAGGACAGAGGGGGCAUG